rnacentral:rRNA from 1 species
GAUGAACGCUGGCGGUAUGCUUAACACAUGCAAGUCGAUCGGACUCUUCGGAGUUAGUGGCGGACGGGUGAGUAACGCGUGAGAAUCUGGCUUUGGGUUCGGGACAACCACUGGAAACGGUGGCUAAUACCGGAUGUGCCGAGAGGUAAAAGAGAAAUUGCCUGAAGAUGAGCUCGCGUCUGAUUAGCUAGUUGGUGAGGUAAAGGCUCACCAAGGCAGCGAUCAGUAGCUGGUCUGAGAGGAUGACCAGCCACACUGGGACUGAGACACGGCCCAGACUCCUACGGGAGGCAGCAGUGGGGAAUUUUCCGCAAUGGGCGAAAGCCUGACGGAGCAAUACCGCGUGAGGGAAGAAGGCUCUUGGGUUGUAAACCUCUUUUCUUAGGGAAGAACAAAAUGACGGUACCUAAGGAAUCAGCAUCGGCUAACUCCGUG